GACGAACGCUGGCGGCGUGCUUAACACAUGCAAGUCGAACGAUGAAGCUGGAGCUUGCUCCGGUGGAUUAGUGGCGAACGGGUGAGUAACACGUGAGCAAUCUGCCCUUGACUCUGGGAUAACUGCGGGAAACUGUAGCUAAUACCGGAUACGAGGCUCGAAGGCAUCUUCGGGUCUGGAAAGAAUUUCGGUCAAGGAUGAGCUCGCGGCCUAUCAGCUUGUUGGUGAGGUAAUGGCUCACCAAGGCGACGACGGGUAGCCGGCCGGGGAGGGUGACCGGCCACACUGGGACUGAGACACGGCCCAGACUCCUACGGGAGGCAGAAGUGGGGAAUAUUGCACAAUGGGCGAAAGCCUGAUGCAGCAACGCCGCGUGAGGGAUGAGGGCCUUCGGGUUGUAAACCUCUUUUAGCAGGGAAGAAGCAAAAGUGACGGUACCUGCAGAAAAAGCACCGGCUAACUACGUGCCAGCCGCCGCAGUAA
rnacentral:rRNA from 1 species